AACUUUUAGCAAUGGAUCUCUUGGCUCUCGCAUCGAUGAAGAACGCAGCGAAAAGCGAUAAGUAAUGUGAAUUUCAGAAUUCAGUGAAUCAUCGAAUCUUUGAACGCACCUUGCGCUCCUUGGUAUUCCGAGGAACAUGCCUGUUUGAGUGUCGUGAACUUCUCAACCUCUGCAAUUUUAGUUUUGCUUGAGGCUUGGAUCAUGGAGGUUCUGCCGGACUUGUUGAUAACGAGUUGGGCUCCUCUGAAAUGCAUCAGCAGACUUCUUUUAAAUUGCUGGCUUUGGUUUGAUAAUUUAUCUAUGUCAUCGCCAUCUGUUAAAGGGUCGGCUUACAAUCGUCCUCUCGGACAACGCUUGACGCUUUGACCUCAAAUCAGGUAGGACUACCCGCUGAACUUAAGCAUAUCAAUAAGCGGAGGCU
rnacentral:misc_RNA from 1 species